rnacentral:tRNA from 1 species
AGUUGGUUAGUCUAAGCAAGACAUUUGAUUUCGGCUCAAAAGAUUGUGGUUAAAGUCCACGACCCUCUA